AUUGAACGCUGGCGGCAGGCUUAACACAUGCAAGUCGAGCGGAGAGAGGUAGCUUGCUACUGAUCUUAGCGGCGGACGGGUGAGUAAUGCUUAGGAAUCUGCCUAUUAGUGGGGGACAACAUUUCGAAAGGAAUGCUAAUACCGCAUACGUCCUACGGGAGAAAGCAGGGGAUCUUCGGACCUUGCGCUAAUAGAUGAGCCUAAGUCGGAUUAGCUAGUUGUGGGGGUAAAGGCCUACCAAGGCGACGAUCGUGACCUGGUCUGAGAGGAUGAUCAGUCACACUGGAACUGAGACACGGUCCAGACUCCUACGGGAGGCAGCAGUGGGGAAUAUUGGACAAUGGGCGAAAGCCUGAUCCAGCCAUGCCGCGUGUGUGAAGAAGGUCUUCGGAUUGUAAAGCACUUUAAGUUGGGAGGAAGGGUUGUAGAUUAAUACUCUGCAAUUUUGACGUUACCGACAGAAUAAGCACCGGCUAACUCUGUGCCAGCCGCCGCCGUAAAAC
rnacentral:rRNA from 1 species